UGCCCGGCGGCGCCGGAAGGGAUUAGUCGCCCUUCCGCCGCGGGGUCACGUGACGUCCCGUCGGCCCCGCAAGAUGGCGGCGCCCAUGUUGCUGCCCGAGUCCCCCCUGGGGAAGCUGAGCCAUCAAAAAUACAGAGCUAUUCUGAAAAAAGAAAAGCGGAAAAAAAAGCGGCAGGCACUAGCCAAACUGAGAGACUCUGAAGCUACAGAAAAAGAUGAAUCAGUGUCUGAGGAGGAAGAGGAGGAACUGGAAGAAGAGGAAGAAGAAGAAGAGGAGAAAAAGCUCGAGGCAGAAAGGUGAAACAGCUAGAAACUAGCAUAUGCUUAGUAGAUAGGUUUUUAGCCAAUUACAU
rnacentral:lncRNA from 1 species